rnacentral:sRNA from 1 species
UAAUGCCUGAAAACUCAAACUUUCCAUAUCGGCGGUAUGACCGGCUCCCUCCAAUCCAUCAAUUCUCCAUAGAAAGUGACACGGAUCUCUCUGAGACUGCAGAGUUGAUUGAGGAGUAUGAGGUUUUUGAUCCUACCAGACCUCGACCAAAAAUCAUUCUUGUUAUAGGUGGUCCAGGAAGUGGAAAGGGUACUCAGAGUUUGAAAAUUGCAGAACGAUAUGGAUUCCAAUACAUUUCUGUGGGAGAAUUAUUAAGAAAGAAGAUCCACAGUACCAGCAGCAAUAGGAAAUGGAGUCUUAUUGCCAAGAUAAUUACAACUGGAGAAUUGGCCCCACAGGAAACAACAAUUACAGAGAUAAAACAAAAAUUGAUGCAAAUACCUGAUGAAGAGGGCAUUGUUAUUGAUGGAUUUCCAAGAGAUGUUGCCCAGGCUCUAUCUUUUGAGGACCAAGUAAGAAUGUCUCCUUAUAUUUUAAAUGAACUACUUUUUGCUUAAAAUUUUGGGAAUAAAAACAAAAAGACUUCUUGG